rnacentral:tRNA from 1 species
GGCGACGUAGCCAAGUGGUAAGGCAGAGGCCUGCAAAGCCUCUAUUCCCUAGUUCGAAUCUAGGUGUCGCCU